GAUGAACGCUAGCGGCAGGCCUAACACAUGCAAGUCGAGGGAGAAGCCCUUCGGGGCAGAAACCGGCGCACGGGUGCGUAACGCGUAUGCAACCUACCUUUCACAGGGGGAUAGCCCGAAGAAAUUUGGAUUAAUACCCCAUAAUAUUAUUGGAUGGCAUCAUUUGAUAAUUAAAAUUACGAUGGUGAAAGGUGGGCAUGCGUCCUAUUAGCUAGUUGGAGUGGUAACGGCACCCCAAGGCUACGAUAGGUAGGGGUCCUGAGAGGGAGAUCCCCCACACUGGUACUGAGACAGGGACCAGACUCCUACGGGAGGCAGCAGUGAGGAAUAUUGGUCAAUGGUCGGAAGACUGAACCAGCCAUGCCGCGUGCAGGAAGAAUACCUUAUGGGUUGUAAACUGCUUUUAUAUGGGAAGAAUAAGGCGUAACGUGUACGUUGAUGACGGUACCAUAUGAAUAAGC
rnacentral:rRNA from 1 species